rnacentral:rRNA from 1 species
CGAACGCUGGCGGCGUGCUUAACACAUGCAAGUCGCACGGAAAGGCCCUGCUUGCAGGGUGCUCGAGUGGCGAACGGGUGAGUAACACGUGGGUGAUCUGCCCCUUACUUUGGGAUAAGCCUGGGAAACUGGGUCUAAUACUGGAUAGGACCAUGCUGUAGGUGGUGUGGUGGAAAGAUUAGUUUCGGUAAGGGAUGAGCUCGCGGCCUAUCAGCUUGUUGGUGGGGUAAUGGCCUACCAAGGCGUCGACGGGUAGCCGGCCUGAGAGGGUGGACGGCCACAUUGGGACUGAGAUACGGCCCAGACUCCUACGGGAGGCAGCAGUGGGGAAUAUUGCACAAUGGGCGCAAGCCUGAUGCAGCGACGCCGCGUGGGGGAUGACGGCCUUCGGGUUGUAAACUCCUUUCAGCCAUGACGAAGCCCUUGUGGUGACGGUAGUGGUAGAAGAAGCACCGGCUAACUACGUG